rnacentral:rRNA from 1 species
UACGUAGGGUGCGAGCGUUAAUCGGAAUUACUGGGCGUAAAGCGUGCGCAGGCGGUUUGAUAAGACAGGCGUGAAAUCCCCGAGCUCAACUUGGGAAUGGCGCUUGUGACUGUCAGGCUAGAGUAUGUCAGAGGGGGGUAGAAUUCCACGUGUAGCAGUGAAAUGCGUAGAGAUGUGGAGGAAUACCGAUGGCGAAGGCAGCCCCCUGGGACGUCACUGACGCUCAUGCACGAAAGCGUGGGGAGCAAACAGGAUUAGAUACCCCCGUAGUCC